GAUGAACGCUGGCGGCGUGCCUAAUACAUGCAAGUAGAACGCUGAAGCUUGGUGCUUGCACCGAGCGGAUGAGUUGCGAACGGGUGAGUAACGCGUAGGUAACCUGCCUGGUAGCGGGGGAUAACUAUUGGAAACGAUAGCUAAUACCGCAUGACAACAGUUAUUGCAUGAUAACUGUUUAAAAGGGGCAAUUGCUCCACUACCAGAUGGACCUGCGUUGUAUUAGCUAGUUGGUGAGGUAACGGCUCACCAAGGCGACGAUACAUAGCCGACCUGAGAGGGUGAUCGGCCACACUGGGACUGAGACACGGCCCAGACUCCUACGGGAGGCAGCAGUAGGGAAUCUUCGGCAAUGGACGGAAGUCUGACCGAGCAACGCCGCGUGAGUGAAGAAGGUUUUCGGAUCGUAAAGCUCGGUUGUAAGAGAAGAACGAGUGUGAGAGUGGAAAGUUCACACUGUGACGGUAUCUUACCAGAAAGGGACGGCUAACUACGUG
rnacentral:rRNA from 1 species